rnacentral:misc_RNA from 1 species
GACAUAUGCCCUUUUUCUUGCAUAAUUGCAACAGCAUUAAGAGCUGCCGAACCACUUCGAAGGUUGGACACAAUGUCUUCGCAACCUUUAGUCUCAUCAGAAUCAUUCAAACAAGUGCGUUCUCUCUUUUUCUUUAAUGGAGGUCCAAAUCCAGCAGAGAGUGCAAAUUGGCGCAGUACUUCAGACCACGUCAAAGGAUUUAAGAGCCUCUGCCAACUGCGUAUGUCAAAACCCCAAAGAUAUGCCCCUUCAACUAUUUGAGGAUGUCCACCUUCAGGAUUG